CGCUGCACCCGUGCUGUGCACGUGGAUCCUGGAGUUCGGAGCGCAGGGCCAAGGCCCAGGACUCUGAGGACGGAAGGUGCUACCCCACUGCCAGUAACCUAGGUGGGGAGGGGCUUGGCCCCUGGUGGCCUCCUGCCUGCCUGCGCUCCUCUCCAGGGACUCUCCUCGGGAACCUGCGGCGGCCGGCCGUAACCAGAGCUGGCCACGGCGGGGAGAGCGGGAGGGAGGAGCUGCGUCUCCAGGAGACCCGAACAGCACACAGCACCCAGCUAAUCCCCGCGGCUCCAGGGCGGCCCCUGCUGGUCAGCAGUGCAGUCCCAGAGAGGAUGACAAACUAAGGCGUCUUCCUGCUCCAGCUAACCCUAGAUUCCAAGGAGGAAACAGCCUGACAAUUGAAUAUGGAGCCUCUGAGACUGCACUGGCUACAAACCCAGCCCUGCGAUUUUUCAGCAGCAUGUGACUGACUUUCCUGGGGUUCCAGCUUGCAGGCAGCAGAUUGUGAGCUUCUCAGAACCUCAGUUUCCUGAAUACCUAAAUAGAACCCGUUUUACAGAGCUCUACAAAGAAGAAAAAAAGCAAAGAAAGGUGUCUUCUCAGUGCCUGGCGCAAGGCUCUGUACUAGGCAGCUGAGGACUCCCCUCCGGCCGCAUCUCUCCAACCUCUUCCUCUUCCUUACUGGGCUCACUCUAUUCUGCUGCUCUGAAGAGCCAGGCUCUGUCCUACCUCCUGGAUCUCCCACACUGUUUCUUGUUCCUAGAACCCCCACUCCCAACCCACUCUCCACCUGACAGUGUCCUCUCCGUUUAAAAGCCACCUCCAUAGAGAAGCAGCCUCUUUACCUCACCCCUCUCUCCCCCA
rnacentral:lncRNA from 1 species